rnacentral:rRNA from 1 species
UCCCCAGACUCCUACGGGAGGCAGCAGUGGGGAAUAUUGGGCAAUGGGCGCAAGCCUGACCCAGCAACGCCGCGUGAAGGAAGAAGGCUUUCGGGUUGUAAACUUCUUUUAAGGGGGACGAACAAAUGACGGUACCCCCUGAAUAAGCCACGGCUAACUACGUGCCAGCAGCCGCGGUAAUACGUAGGUGGCAAGCGUUAUCCGGAUUUAUUGGGUGUAAAGGGCGUGUAGGCGGGAGCGCAAGUCAGAUGUGAAAACUCAGGGCUCAACCCUGAGCCUGCAUUUGAAACUGUGUUUCUUGAGUGCUGGAGAGGCAGACGGAAUUCCUAGUGUAGCGGUGAAAUGCGUAGAUAUUAGGAGGAACACCAGUGGCGAAGGCGGUCUGCUGGACAGCAACUGACGCUGAGGCGCGAAAGCGUGGGGAGCAAACAGGAUUAGAUACCCGGGUA